UUCCGUAGCUCAGCUGGGAGAGCGCUACCUUGACAGGGUAGAGGUCGCUGGUUCGAGCCCAGUCGGAAUCAUACCA
rnacentral:tRNA from 1 species